rnacentral:lncRNA from 1 species
GAAAAGGAAAUCCAGCACUUUUUGCGUACCUACAUAUAUAUUAAAUUUUUUUUUUUUGUUGUUGUAAUGUUCCGCAUAACGAGCACGGACCAUGUCGAACCACGUGCAGCAUAAUCACCCGGCAGAGCGUAGCCCGGAAAUUGUAUGGAUCUGUGGGUCGCAGCUCCAGCGGCAAUUGGAUGAAGUUGCCGAUGCUGAUGAGGCUGCUCCUGCAGUUGCUAUUCCUGCAUGCAAUUAAGCCAGGGACGAGAGCGAGGCACAACUUGCCACUCUGUGUGUCCCAAAACUGCAAGCUGACCAUGCAAAUUACGUUGCCCACACUCAUACUUGCACACGCUCUGCUACACACACGCAUUCCUGUCGCCUCGUUUGGGGGCCUGCGGGGCUCCCCGGCAUUUGAGUGAUGCACCAAGUCGAGGAAGCGGAGAAGGUGGCCAGCUAGCUGGAACCCCAUUGCCGCUGCCACUGCCACUACUACUACUACUACUAACUGCCACUGCCAAAGCUAAGUUAAAUGGACCUG